rnacentral:lncRNA from 1 species
CCCCCUUAUAGUAAAGAAAACUGUAACAAAAUAAGAUAAUGAGAGAAACUAAAUACAACAACAUGAGGCAAGUCUGAGGCAAAAAACAAGAAGAGGCAUUUGGUUUCUGUGGCGUUUGUACGGAGCCCCUGAUCGUCUCACGGACUAUUGACCCGUACACCACUAAUCCGCUGCCACCAACCAGGUCCUCCCCGGUAAAUCACUUAGUCUCACUCAGGGGUUCUUAAUUUAACAAAGAAGAGUGUAGUUUAUUGCAGACACAAAUAAACUUUAACUGCAUUCAAAACGUUGUUACUCUUUACCUUCUUAGUCUUAUUUUAUCCUGUCUCUAACUCUUCUACCUCCCCUCACACAAGAACCAACUGCACUAACUGUCUCUCUAAUCCCAAUUGUCUGCCAACUGCUUUUCCAACUGCCUUUCCCAACCAACCAAUCCACUAAAACCAACCAACUACCCACCUCCCAAACCUCGGGCUAAGCCCUUUUAUAAACAGGUAGGCUCCGCCUCCGGCUUUCUUAUUGGUCUACAUAUUAACCCUUUCUCUCCCCCUGUACAGACAUUUUCAAACAAACAGGCAAACGCCACAUGCUCGCUUAACUGAGUGUUUUUAUUACACAACCUUCUUCUAAAUGGUCCCUCUUUCAGCAUUCUACAGAUAGGAUGUCCUUCCAUUUGUGUUCCAUCCCAUUAUGAUCUCUUUAGGUCAUGCUUAUGUCAUACAAGUUCCAAAUUAAUAAUUCUCAAACAGACACCAAAACUCACUAGGUGUGUUGAUGAAAUGCCAGACUGCAACAAUGAACAAACUCAAUGAAAAGGGAGAGGCGUUGCAAGACCUGGCUUCUGCCAUCAACAGGGCCAUAUUUGGGGAAGUGAGGCACAGGCAAUGAACAAGAAACCACACUGCUUGUUAUUUAGACAAGGAAGCAGGCCUGUCCCAGAAGCUAGGCUUUACCUAAUGACCUGGUUCGGCCUAUUGUCAAAGAGGUUUCAUCGCUGGUCUGGCUGUUCCAAUAUAUUUCCCUUCCUUGGCCAAUGAAUGAUGCUGGCUAAAUCCCUGCCAAAUAUCCCUCAGGCUCAAAUUUAGGAGCCAAUGCACUGUGGGCCAGAAUUCUGAUGGGCUUCUGGACAGAUUGCCCUUCAGUCAUGCCUAAUGUCAUCCAGAACAAUCCGACGCUAUCCGCGGGCUCAAUCUUGGCAGUCUGCAGGCAUCAGUGAUGCCAGCUCACCCACCUUGGCACAAAUGCCCAGCACUACUGAUUGGUUGUACAUUACACACACACAUCCAAAAUGGACUGGCAGUAACCAGGACUAGCUAAAAUGCCCCCUUAGGACAGAAUUAUAGCUAUCUGGAAGUGCAGUCCCCAGAUGAUUCUUUCUCUUUCACAAGGUAAAUGUCACACAAAAAGGCCUUUAAAAAAAGAAAGAGAAAGGAAAAAAAGGAGACUAUGCCCUGGAGAUUUAUGAACAAUGCAGAAGACCCAAUACGCAUUGUAUGCUCUCAUAUUGAAGAUAAGACAGAAGGUGGGCAUUGUGGAAGUUGCAGAGCUUUGGAGUGAGUGCAGGAACACACACUCAUCCAUGCAUGUUCUUGCUGAUCACACUUCAAAGAACCUAACAAUAAUGUCUGUGGAAGCGAGAGGGAUUAUCCUUCAUACUUGAAAGUGACACAUCUGGCUCGCUAGAAAAUGGGAAGGGGGGGGGAUGAAUUGACAGAAAUGAAAGGUAAAGAUCUGAGUCUAAAUACACAAUGCAUCAGCCUGCAGCUUUUCUUGAAAGAAGACCCUCGGUAAGACAUGAAAGGCACAGAGGAAAGAAGCUCUUUAUUAGAAUGAAAGGCAGUGUAUAUAUACGUUUUAAUGAAAUUCAAUUCUCUCUCUAAUUGGGUCACAUCAGUAAAAAAAAAAAAAAAAUGCAUGCAAAUUUAUAGGCUCACAUUGAGUUUGGCAGUAAUGAAUGCCCAGUAAAUUGUUAGUCUAAAGCAAUGAGUUUGGUAUUUUUUCCUUUCUUAAUCCUGUCAUUACACAACAUUACAGAUGCCUUGCUGAGGGCUUGGAGACAUCAUACACAUUCAUACACACAAAAAUAGGUUGCGAAACUGAAUAUAUUUGAGCUACUCUAGAUGAGGAGGAUGAAUGGGGGUUUGAGGAAACAGACUAACAAGAAAACAGGAAACAGGAUUAAUGGUUGAGGAAUUAAAGCUUGCAAGAUUACUGUUUUUAAAGCAUGGGCUGAGGGGCAUGGCUGGCUGGUUUCAUCUCACUGUAUCAAGAUGAAAACAUGAUUCUAAAGUACAUACAGGGGAAGUUGCUCAAAAUUAUUUUAAAAUAGCAAUUGUAUUCCAGGUAGUCACACAUACAUAAGAGAAACUUCAACUGUAUAGCCCUGGUUCAAAUAUAUAAGGAAGAGGAAGCAUUCCAAGAUAAUAUACUCAUAUAUUUUUCUUUUUAAAAAAAAUUUAAAAAAUGAAAUCCUGUGUUACUUUACAAACAACUAAACCACUUAAUUUCAAAAGCUUUCAUCUUAUUCAUGCAUUUAAAUAGAACCUAAAUUGACUCUGUAGCUCAUCAAUGCUGAGACAUCAGGGUGUAAAUUGAUUCCAUCUACAUGGCACUUCUGGUACUUAAAGCAAAUCAAGAACAGGUAGUUCCGAGGGUUGCUCUGCACAGUAUGAGGCACCCAGCCUGGCAAUGGCAAAGUGAACAUUUAACAGCAAGUUUCAGCUAAUCCUGGCUCACUGAUGAGUGAAAAUGCCAAGGAGGGAUGGGAAUCUGUGGCCCUCCAGGCAUUCGUAGAGAGUACAACUCCACUCAUCUUUAACUAUUGACCAUUUUGGAUGGGCCAAUGGGAGUUGGAGCCUAAAAACAUCUAGAGAGCCAAAUGUUUCCUACUCCUCUCUUAGAGAGACUGCUGGCUGAUUGAUGAGGAUAGCGGCUGAUGUUUUCUCAAUAGAAGAGAUCUAGCUACUGCUUUCCCACUAUUCUGCAUUUUGCAGAAUUUUGUAAUUUCCAUAGCCCCAUACAUAUACAGUGGUACCUCAGUUUAAGUACUUAAUUCGUUCCGGAGGUCCAUUCUUAACCCGAAACUGUUCUUAACCUGAAGCACCACUUUAGCUAAUGGGGCCUCCCGCUGCCGCCGCGCCGCCAGAGCACGAUUUCUGUCCUCAUCCUGAAGCAAAGUUCUUAACCUGAAGCACUAUUUCUGGGUUAGCAGAGUCUGUAACCUGAAGCGUAUGUAACCCAAGGUACCACUGUAUAGCACAUGGCAGUGUUCUAAUCUUGAAAUCACCUUGGUACAUUAUGAUUACUAAUUCUGCAAAGAAAGUCACACAGCUGUACUAUCACUCAGAGUGAUGUUUCCCUUUGCAAGGGGCUUCACAAAACCUGAUGAUCAGGUUUCGUAAAUCUCUCUGUCGAGCACUGUACACUAAAUGGAGCCUAAAGUCCAUUUGGGCCGAGUCAGAUUGAAAUAGGUCCAGAAAAUCAACUGCUUCCAACAGAGCUGAAAGAUAGUGUGCCAUAACUCACUCCCAUCUGAAAAUGAAAUAUUUGAGAGUGCCAUCCUGUGAUUUUUCAGCUUAGAAAAUGACCAUGAGGUAAUUUUAUUGUGUUUUAAUAUUUUAACUUUUGUAUGUUUUAAAAUAUGGUUCUGAGUUUUGCUUAAUUUUCCUGUUUUAUCUUUUGUAAACCGGUUUGAGGGUUUUUCUUAAAUCAAGAGGUGUAUAAAUGUUAUGUAAUGUAAGGGGGGGUUAUUUUCCAACACCUGCCUUUUUCAAGGGUUCAGGCACCUGCCAUUCAUUUAAUAAGUGAACCACCCUGAGACCUGUGGGUAUAGGGUGGUAUAUAAUAAUAAUAAUAAUAAUAAUAAUAAUAAUAAUAAUAAUAGAUUUUAACGAACACCCUUGUAACUGGUCAAGUUGGGCAAAAGUCAUAAAUAUAAGUAUUAAAACUUCACAUUUAUUUUCCAUAGAGGUAAGUUUUCAUUUCAUGGGAUAAACAGAAUAUUCUAGAAUGGGUUUUCUGUAGAAGCUGAAUAAAUAAAGAAGCUUACUGGCUUCCAAUUAAUUCAGAAUAUCUUGUGGUUUCUGGUCUAUUUCCUUAUUUGUAACUCAUUGGGAUCAAAAAAGGAUUCCUCCCACCUAUGGUCAUAGAUUUAUCUGUAGAAAACCUUCCAUUUCCUCUUAAGUUAUUGCUAUCAGCUGUAGUAGCAUCCUCCAAGGGUACCUCCCUUUAAUGAGAAAUCUGUGCUUAUGUGAAGCUUACGUAAGCAACAGAUGAGGAUAUUAUUCAUUGUAAGUAUAAACCAGGAUUUGCAUUUGGGGGUUCUUUGACAUUACUAAAAGCUUAAAUAAAAAUGGGUUGGCUGUUAUGCACAGCAGAAGAGGAACUAACAUAAAACUAAGGAUAAUGUUGUCACUUUCAAUGUCUGAUUUUUUUUAAUGCCAGUGAGCUAAUUCUGUUUUUUUGAACCUAUAGUGCCUUUGGCUGUGUAUCUAUUGGCAGACACUAGCCAAUUGACUUUUAGGAGAACUGAGGACUUUGCUUUCUACAUAUACCUUCCAAUCUUGAAAAGCUCUGGCUUGCAUUCUAAGGCUAACCAUUAAGGUGGGAGUAAGCCUCAAUGAACUCACUGGGUCUGACUUCUGUGUAGGCAUGUUGAUAAUUGUGAUUUAAGAGAAUGCAAUAUUCUAGAGAUGAUGAAAAAAAAUAUCAGAGACCAAGGUCUUUCAAACUGUUUGUUAACAAAAACUCAAGAUUCAGGUUCCACACUGAAUAUAGUAAUCUCAGAGAAUUGGCCUACAAGAUCGGGGUUGUCUUCCAUGGGUCACACACAAGUUUGUUGUUGUUGUUUAGUCGUUUAGUCGUGUCCGACUCUUCGUGACCCCAUGGACCAGAGCACACCAGGCACUCCUGUCUUCCACUGUCUCCCACAGUUUGGUCAAACUCAUGCUAGUAGCUUCGAGAACACUGUCCAACAAUCUCGUCCUCUGUUGUCCCCUUCUCCUUUGUGUCCUCCAUCUUUCCCAACAUCAGAGUCCUUUCCAGGGAGUCUUCUCUUCUCAUGAGGUGGCCAAAGUAUUGGAGCCUCAGCUUCACGAUCUGUCCUUCCAGUGAGCACUCAGGGCUGAUUUCCUUAUGAAUGGAUAGGUUUGAUUUUCUUGCAGUCCAUGGGACUCUCAAGAGUCUCCUCCAGCACCAUAAUUCAAAAGCAUCAAUUCUUCGGCGAUCAGCCUUCUUUUUGUUCCAGCUGUCACUUCCAUACAUCACUACUGGGAAAACCAUGGCUUUAACUAUACGGACCUUUGUUGGCAAGGUGAUGUCUCUGCUUUUUAAGAUGCUGUCUAGGUUUGCCAUCGCUUUUCUCCCAAGAAGCAGACGUCUUUUAAUUUCAUGACUGCUGUCACCAUCUGCAGUGAUCAUGGAGCCCAAGAAAGUAAAAUCUCCCACUGCCUCCAUUUCUUCCCCUUCUAUUUGCCAGGGGGUGAUGGGCCCAGUGGCCAUGAUCUUCGUUUUUUUGAUGUUGACCUUCAGACCAUAUUUACACACAAGUUUAAUACCUGAUAAAAUGAAAAGAAAGGAUCCUAGACUAGGACCUUAGAAUCCUAGAUCUAGAAUGUGUAUACCGUACCUAUAAUAGAAUUAUAUGUACAAAAAGAGGUUCAGGCUUAUUCACACAUUACACUGAACAUGAGUGCAGACUUAUUCUAUGCAUGUGCAUAUGUUUGAAUAAAAGAGUGUACACUUGUUGAUUUGUACCACUCAUGUUUUGCAAAUAGGUGCAUGGACUGUACAUCCAUUGAAUGCAAUAUGCUUAUUAUUUGCAAGUGUGCAACCAAAAUUUUGUACACAGGUACACAGAUUGCACAACCGUUGACUAUAAAGUUGAAUGCACACCUCCACUCUGAUAUUUCUGCUGUGGACACCCACAUGCCUGAGUUGGAAAGCAGAAGAAAACCAAAAAAUGAUUGUUUUCACCUUUGCUGAACUGUUUUGGGAUUUGGUUAAUAUUUACUGUUCUUAUUUGCUUUUAAAAUGGCUUUAUUAUUACAAUUUUGUAUUUACUUUAAUGAAGAGCAGGUGAAAACUGCCUUUAAAAAUUAAGGAAAUAAAUAAAGCCAGCUUUCCCAUUGAGCCACUCAUUCGAGCAACUGUGGUAGAACUUCAAGGACUCUUUGGCUGGAAUUGUUCCAAAUAAUUCAUGUGGCCAACCUUGGCAACAUCCUCAAAGUGAAUGGAAUGCCCAGCAUCAAGUGACUGUGUGGCUGUGGCGCCUGUAUCUCUGAGGUCCUCCUGAAAAAAAUUGUUUAUUAUAUCAGACAUAGUUACCAUGUGAUUAAUUUUGGUUUAAUUCAUUUUGUUACCCAUCAAAACAUCCAACCAUAUUUCUUCAGCUGUGGUAUAGAUAAAUAUACAUUAAUUUCACUGCUCUGUUUUCUAUUCCUUGAUCUUAUGCAUGGAUCAUAUAAUUUUAUUCAUUGCCGUAAACAACCCUGUAGGAACAAAGAAUAUUAAAGGACAUAAAAUAAGGUCAUUAACUAUAGAGUAUUACCUUGGCAGGUUACUCAGCUAAUGACCAAAUACGAAGCUGGAAGUUUCAGCAGGGUAUUUUAAUAAAAAUAUUCAGCUAACUGGCUGGCAAAACUAUUUUGCACUGGCAAAUAAAAAAUGAGAAACUUUCCACUUCUGAACCUCAGCAUAAUGCAUUUGUGAACAUGCCACGUAUUGGAACAGAAGGUUUGUGGGUCAUUUCCUACAUAUACUUCCAUGUAACAGCAAAGAAAGUUGGAUUAGAUGAGAUGCAGUUCUCCAAAUCUGUAGGGCUAUGCUCUUCUAAAAGCUCAUGUUUUAUGUCCAAUUCACAGGAAUGGAAAAUGUUGUUUUAUAUUCAUUUUACAUACAAAAGCAUUUGUACCUCACCUUUCAGUCCUCAAAAAGCAGGGUAUGACAUAUGAGGAGAAACCCUAGUCUGUUACCACCCACUGUGUGCAUUCAUUCAAGGUACCGUAUUUUUCGCUCUAUAAGACGCACCAGACCAUAAUAUGCACCUAGUUUUUGGAGAAGGAAAACAAUAAAAAAAAUAUUCUGAAUUUCAGAAGCCAGAACAGCAAGAGGGAUCGCUUCAUAGUGAUCCCUCUUACUGUUCUGGCUUCUGGGAUAGCUGUGCAGCCUGCAUUCGCUCCAUAAGACGCACACACAUUUCCCCUUAAUUUUUAGGAGGGAAAAAGUGAGUCUUAUAGAGCAAAAAAUACGGUAUGUGCUUCCCCUCCUCAAAAGUGAUCCAAAAACUAUUAUCAUUAUUAUUAUUAUUACUAUUAUUAUUAUUAGAAUUUAUAUACCUCCCUAUACACAGGGGUCUACUAGUUACUACAACCAUUACCACAUUUUUUAAAAAAAUCUAAUAUUCAGCAUCAUGACUUUAUACAUCAAUUUUAACUCACUGCUUUCCAUGGUGAUAUGAAAUAAUUCAAAUAUGAGCACAUCGACAGAUGCUACAUUUAUUUCACUUCAGUAGCCAGACCUUUGCAUUCAUCUAGAAUGCUAUUAUUAGAAUGCUUUUCUAGCAGAAUAUCAAUAAAGUAUAUUUUCAGUUGUUGUAAAGGGGUGUUCCUAAGUCCAGAAGCAGCUUCAGAGUCUCCGCCUGAUGUUUGAUUGACCUGUAAAAAAGAAGAAGUAAUAUUACUCUUGUGAGCAGCAGGCUAACCAGCACGUAAGCUGAACUUUCUGAAUGAUCUGCUUUCCUGUUAAAUCAUGUGGAACACAAGAAUGGACUCGGUGAUCCACAAAUGCGAUAACUGGAAUUGAUCUCAUCCUGUGCAACUUUCGGCCAUUCCACAAAAGUUUUGAGUCAUUCAGUUUUAGUGGCUAAGUAGAAUAGUGGCUAGAGCAGGCGUGGCCAAAAUUGUGCCCUCCAGAUGUUUUGGAACCACAUCACUCCAACUAUUUUUUUUUUUAGUUUGUUUGUUUUUUAUUAAAGAUUUUAUUGUUUUACAGAAGUAAGUGUAAUUUCUCUCGUAUUUUUUCCAUGUAACAUUUUUACAAAUCCGUUUCAUUUGUUGAGACACUAGGGGGAGAAAAAAGAAAAGAAAAAAAGGGGGUGGAGGGAGGGAAGAUGGGUGGGGUCGGGUGGCGAUGUUUCUAUUAUGCUUAAUGUAUGUAGGGUUUGGUGUCAGCGUUGCUUGUGCUGUUCACUUGUGUUCCUUUGGUGGUGAGAGAGGUUGGGGUUGGCCUAGGGUGUGGUUGUUUGUUUGUGAUUGGCUGUUGUGAUCUUUGUUUUCGUGUGUGAGUGGGGUGGGUGGGUGUUUUGGAUCAGGUUAGCGAUAAUGAUUUGUAUGCUGUUGGUGGAUUAUUGUCAUUGUCUUGUUGGGCUGUGUAUGUGAUAAAGGGGAGCCAUACCGGGGUGAAGGCGUCUUCUUCUAUUUGUCCCCGUGUCAGUAUCAGUUUAUUGGUUGCUUUUUCUAGUAGGGCUGUUUCCCAUACUAUUUGGUACCAUUGGUCCAUACUUACUCCUGACAGGUCUCUCCAGUGUCUGGUUAUGCUGUUUCUGGCUGCUGAAAGUAGGUGGGUUAUGAGUUCUUUGUGGUGUAAAUGGGCAUUGUUGUCUUGGAAGAAUCACCGCAACUAUUGACCAUGCUGAUUGAGGCUGAGAUGCGUUGGGGAUCAAUAACAUCUUGAGGACCCUGAAUUAGCUACCUGGACAACAGCGUUGGGCAGUGUGGAGAGACCCAAGUUCAAAUUCCUGCUAAGCCAAUCGGCCAAUCACUUUCUCUUUCAGCCUUAGCAAAUUUCCAGGAUUGCUGUGUAAGAUUCACAUCCAUCUGGAAUGUGGACCCUGAAAGGUUGCCUGAGAGCGUAUGUGGCCCUCAGGUUAGAAAACUUCCCUCACUUUUGAUCUAGCAUUUACCACUUUGCUUCCUGGGGGAGGCUCACAUUCUGUACCAACUAUCGUGGAUUUCCAAGAAUGUAUUGUGAGCAGGUGCUCGUGAUCUCCCUUGCCAAUAUUGUCCAAUCAGAAUAACAAAUCUCUUGUCUUCCCUACCAGUCAGUUGCUUCUAUUGUGAACAUUUUGUUUUCCACAGUUUCUGGGCCCUCAUUCUGUCCUACGGUGCUACUAGCAAAGGGCUUGGUUCUCUCGCAAGGAGAAUUUAUUGUCACAAUAAAAAUAAAGCCCCUUUCUCCACCAACACUCGCAGCUCAGAAGACAGAGUGAAUAAGCUUUGGGAAUUUACAGUAGAAUACCACUGGGUCAUUGUACCAAACUGAAAAGUUGGCUCAGCAGACAGCUGUAGACGGUAAUAAAGAAAAGGUUGCCUAAGGGAGAGAACAGAGCAGUUUGAUUUGUUAGAGGAGAAAUGUACAUUAUUCUGGAGUGUGACAGCCCAGACAUUAGGCUGGGUUUGUAUUUUGACCAGCCAGAGACUUUGUCAGGGCAGCUAUUUUCAUGCUCUUGUAAAUUAUUAGCGCAAACAGAGUGCUCAAGAAAAUGCAAGUUUACUUAUCACUUUGGGGAGUGUGCCAUUUGGUGCAAGACGGGUCAUUUUGUUUUUUAAUAGCAUCGUUUGGAAACAACUGGCUUUCCCCCCCCUUUGUGAUUGGUCAACAGUCGAGAAAGACAUUUCAUGUAACAAGGGUAAGAGAAAUAUGGACACAAGCAAAAUAUGUUUGCCGUGUCCAGUGGGUUGUUGCUGUCCAUAUGACUGUUGUAGCUCAGAGCCUCUGAAGGCUAGGACACUGAUUCUGUUCCACGUGAAGAUGACACAUCGGGCCUGAGGAUUGACUGAGCUGCCUACCCCCUGCUACUUCAUAAUGAACCAGAAGGCUGGGGAAAACAAGGUUAUUUUUUAAAUUCUGUGAGUUGAAGGCAAUUUCAGACUUUAAAUACAUUUCUUUGGGGGAAAGUAUAUCAAAUUCAAUUGGCUUGCAAUUCGUAGCAUUCUCUGCAGUUGGGUUUGGGUGACUGGAUGGAUCGAUGGAUGAGGGUCUGUAAUGGCUACUGCAGAUGCGGGUGAAGGGAGUACCAAUAAAAUAAUCUGAGAAGCAAGACUGCUCAUGCUUCCUACCUCUUGACAUUUCAGGAAGUGGGAAUCAUAAAACUGAGUAGAGAUAGAAAGACAGAUAUAAAGAUAUAGUAGUUCCAUGUUACAAUUAUAUAUUCAUUUUAUUACAUGAAUAUCCUGGGACUCAAGGCAGUGCACAUGGUUCUCUUCCCUCAAACACCAUCCAUGUGAGGUAGGUUAGACUGAGAGAUGGUGGCUGGCCCAAGGUCAUCCAGUGGACUUCAUGGCUGAGUAGGGAAUUGAAUUAGUAUCCUAAGGCAGUACUCCACACUUGCAUGCUACAUUAUACAUUCUUAAAAUUAUGUAUUACUUGGCUUCCUAAAAAGGCAUUUAAUGAGAUGUACAAUUAAGAAACAGAAAAGUUCCAUACAAGUAUAUGACAGCUUAAAUAAUGGCAGUAAAGGUAAAGGGACCCCUGACCAUUAGGGCCAGUCGCGGACAACUUUGUUUUUUUUUUUUUAAAUAAUUUUUAUUAAAGUUUUAAACAAAGAGAAAAGAAAAAACAACACACACAAAAAAACAAUACAAAAUUUAACAAUAAAAACACACAACAUAACAAUUUAAAACAAACUCUCUUUUACAUUCCCAAUUUUGAAUUACUUAUUUUCUGGACUUCCUCAUACCUCCCUCUUUUGUAUUCCAAUCUACAUUAUUUGUCCAGCAAUUUCUUUUCCACUUUUUUAAACCCAAUCUUUAAUUUAAUAAAAUAUUAAACUAUAUAACAUAAACAUAAUCCUUGUUCUUAAUGUCAUAUACCUUUAAAUUUUUCCCAAUCUUAAUCUUUAAUCUUAAUCUAUCCUAGCUUUAACCUGUACAGCUGGAAACCACUUAUUUUCAAUCCAACAUCACUCUAACAUUCCUUAAUUUUGCAGUAUUUCUGAAGAUAGUCUUUGAAUUUCUUCCAAUCUUCCUCCAUCGACUCUUCUCCCUGGUCACGGAUUCUGCCAGUCAUUUCCGCCAAUUCCAUAUAGUCCAUAAGUUUCAUCUGCCAUUCCUCCAGCGUGGGAAGUUCUUGUGUCUUCCAAUACUUUGCGAUGAGUAUUCUUGCUGCUGUUGUUGCAUACAUAAAGAAAGUUCUAUCAUUUUUUAACACCAUUUGGCCCACUAUGCCCAGGAGAAAGGCCUCUGGUUUCUUGGGAAAGGUAUACUUAAAUACCUUUUUAAAUUCAUUAUAUAUCAUUUCCCAGAAAACCUUAAUCUUUGGGCACGUCCACCAAAGGUGAAAAAAUGUACCUUCAGUUUCUUUACAUUUCCAACAUUUGUUAUCGGGCAAGUGAUAAAUUUUCGCAAGCUUGACUGGGGUUAUGUACCACCUGUAUAUCAUUUUCAUAAUAUUCUCUCUUAAGGCAUUACAUGCCGUAAAUUUCAUACCAGUGGUCCAUAACUGUUCCCAGUCAGCAAACAUAAUGUUAUGUCCUACGUCCUGUGCCCAUUUAAUCAUAGCCGAUUUUACCGUUUCAUCUUGAGUAUUCCAUUUCAGCAGCAAGUUAUACAUUCUUGACAGAUUCUUAGUAUUGGGUUCUAACAAUUCUGUUUCUAAUUUCAAUUUUUCCACCUGGAAGCCAAUUUUCCUGUCUAAUUUAAACAGUCGCGGACAACUUUGGGGUUGCAGCGCUCAUCUUGCUUUAUUGGCCAAGGGAGCCGGCAUACAGCUUCCAGGUCAUGUGGCCAGCAUGACUAAGCCACUUCUGGUGAACCAGAGCAGCACACGAAAACGCCAUUUACCUUCCCGCUGGAGCGAGACCAAUUUAUCUACUUGCACUUUGACGUGCUUUCGAACUGCUAGGUUGGCAGGAGCAGGGACUGAGCAACGGGAGCUCACCCCAUCGCAGGGAUUCAAACCGCCAACCUUCUGAUCGGCAGGCCCUAGGCUCUGUGGUUUAACCCACAGCGCCACCUGUGUCCCUUAAAUAAUGGCAGUAGCAAUCUACCAAAAAAAUAAAAAAAAUGAAGGAGGCAAUUUAAAACUUUAACUUUUUAAAUUAAAAAAAGUCUGAGAGAACAUAUAAAAUUUAAUUCCAUAUCUGAAGUCCUACAUGGAAGUUGCCUGGCAAGCAUUGCUGGGUUGCUUGAUCCAGCUGCUAUGGGCCCCACAAAGCUGAACAUCACACAAAAAGGAAACCUGAAGCAAGGCCUAGUAAUUCAAUAGGAGAGUUAUAAUAUUGCUCCUGCAUUAAUGGUAGUGUGGUGAAAAGUAUUGGGGUAAGUACUGUAGGUAGAUGCUGCAUAAAGUCAGAUGGAGAAACAGGAAUCGUCUGGUUGAGGUAUACUGUAGAUCAGGGUAGAGAACUUUUUUGGCCUAACAGGCCAGAUCCGUAUUGGUUGCCAGACCCAUGGACCAGGUCUGACGGGUAAGAGGGACAACCCACCUGUCAUUCAUGGAACUUAAUUAUGACAUCAUUCAGCUGAUGAGCGGUGACUUCAACCCUGCUUUCCGGAGGGUUUAGCUGUAUGAUUCAGUUCCCCACAGGGAACUUAGCUGCAUAACUGACACAGUCAUGUCUCAACCCCCCCCACCACCCCUACCUGAGGACAUCACACACAAGUUGCUUACAGAAGUUUCAUAGGUCAUCCAUUGAAAUAUAUAAGCUUGCUAAUAUAUACAAAUAAUUUAAUUUAUCACGCACAACCUGCUAAACAGAAAGGUAAAGGUUUCCUAAUUUCAUUUCUAGGCUCUUGAACACAAUUCAGAGAAUUGAGUCGAUGGGAAAAACUGCAGCUCAGUAUCAUGGUAGCAGGCAUCACUAUUAAGUGGGGGGAGGGUUGCAUAGUGGGAGGCAUCUGUGAGGUGAAAUAAGUUUACGAGAGAAAUAAAAGAAUAGGAUUAUGAGAAGAACAAAAGGUCUGGGGAAAGGGAUGGUGUGAGCACUAUUAGAAAAGGAAAUGAAAAACACAAAGAGGGAGAGGGGGAGAGGUGUAGAGUGAGAUCAAACAGCUCAGAUCUUCCCAAGAAGCAUCGGGUGUUUGAAGUCCACAAAGAUAACACACCUUGUCCAAUCCUCUUCAAAGAUCAGAUUUCAGGGAGCGAAAGGAAGAGGAGAAGAAAGAAAAGGAGGGAAAGGGAUGGGCUAUGGUGGUAUUGCCUCAGAAAUGAAAAAAGGAAAUCACAGAGACGGAGAAAUAUUUUGUCCUGACAAAGUGAAGUAACUGUGAAGAGUAUAGAAAAGUCAAACAGUCACCCUUCAUGGGAUUCUGAGAUUUAGGGGCAGGGAGGUGGUUUGUUUUGAUGAAAGCAGAAGGCUCCAUACAUCAAGUUAAUCAUGAGCAGAAAAUGUAAGGAGGGCACAUCAGAAAAGCAGUGCCCAUUUAUUCUCCCAUUUUCUUUUCGAACAGCACAGCCAAAUCUGUGCCAGAUCUGUUUUAGAGGCUGCUUUUCAAUGGAUGCUACCUUUCAGGAAUUAGUUAAAUGUGCCUGUGUGUUUAACAUGACCCUGAUGGUUUCUUUUUCUCAUUUUUCAGAGAAAAGGUCCUCCGGGAUGGACUGAUUUAUAACACAGACACGGUGGGUGUACGAAUGACUGAACCUUUGCUGAG